GAUAAAUAUAUUAGUUCUUUAAUUACACUUUCGGCUGCUUGGGGUGGUUCUGUCAAAGCCCUUAAAGUUUUUGCUGUUGGGGAUGACUUGGGUGCAUAUCUUCUUCGUCAAAGUAUCCUGAAAGAUCAAUAAAUAACUAGUCCUAGUCUAGGUUGGUUAUUACCAUCAAAAUUAUUUUGGAAAGAAACAGAAGUGUUGGUGGAAUCAAGUGAAAAAAACUACACAUUGUCAACUUUAAAAGAUUAUUUAAUGUAAAGUAUGAUGUAUACAAUCUGCACUCUUUUUUUAAUAGUAAAAGCAACAACAA